AAAAUGCUCCAACGUUUUCAGAGACGUCCAUUUUUUUCAUGCUUUGUGGCAGCUUUUGAACAUCUAUGGCAUCUAUUAAUGUCAAAUCUAGACUUUAUUUAACAACAUAAGCAAAUUCUAUGUUACAAUAAUCGCACAGCCAUUAAGGAUCAAAUCAGUUUCUAAAAAAUGUUCUGUUUUUUCUCCCUCUGCUUGCUUCUUACUGUCUUUGAGGCUCGGGACCAGCACUCCUGCUGUUGGACAGAAAGACAUCAACUCAGUGACUUGAUAUAUGACUGCACUAUGCUGUUGCUGGUGACUCUAGUUAAUUCUACAAGACAUGCUGUGACAACAGGAGAGAUGAGUCCUCCGUCACAGAUGGUGUGGUCAGUGAAGAUGGUCCCCUGCAGGUUCAAGCUCAUUGCAUCUCCAACCCACAUCCACUGCCACUGUACUUAAGGGAAGUUAAAGACUUUCUUCUGCACCUACAUUUGGAUCACCUCGAUCCAUGACAGUCAUUCAGGCAGUAAUGCCUGGACUGGAAACAAGCCAUCCUUAAAAUAAUACAACAUUCCAGCUCCUGUGUUGGAAUGAAAAACAAAUGUGUUGUUUACAUUAGAGACUGCACUUGUGACAGAACAACAAAUAUUUUAUUUUGAUUAUAUAAGUAAUGUAAGUACAAAACAAACUUGUGGUAGGCCUAAACUUAUUUUCAGAAUAAUUACAUCUGAGACUUUGUUUCAUUGUGAGAUUAUAACAGUGAUGGCAAUAUAAAUAUUUGUUGUUCAGCAGAACAGUGUCCAGUAUGUUGGCUGUUAUACUAAAAGUUGGGCUGAUUUUAAC